GGGUAUUAUUACGGCUGANCGUCCCCAUGAANCGGCGAUGNGAAGUCGGGAAGAGCUCAAGCUUAAAAUCUCUGCGCAAGUUUUGCGCGGCGAAUUGUAGUCUAUAGACGCGGCAUCAGUGCGGCCGUUCGGGGUAAGUUCCUUGGAAGAGGACAGCAAUGAGGGUGAUACUCCCGUUUGUACCCGAGUGUGUUGCACGUACGAUGCGUGUUCUUACGUGAGUCGCGUUGUUUGGGAAUGCAGCGCAAAGUAGGUGGUAAAUUCCAUCUAAAGCUAAAUAUUGGUGCGAGACCGAUAGCGAACAAGUACCGUGAGGGAAAGAUGAAAAGAACUUUGAAAAGAGAGUUAAAGAGUACCUGAAACUGCUGAAAGGGAACCGGGGUCGUUGCCAAGUGUUCUAUUAAUUCCGCUGCAUAUUUUCAUUUGCUGUGCGAAGUUCGUGUUCCCGCGUUGGGUAAUAAAUUUUGUUCUGCACCGCCGCCUGUCUGUGGGGUUUGUUCCGGCGGUGCCCCGGUGCGGUGGGUGGGACUUUCAAAAUUCAGUUCCGUGUUUGGCUGCCGGGGAAAAUGGCUGGUUCNAAGGAAGGUUAGGUUCAAGG
rnacentral:rRNA from 1 species